rnacentral:rRNA from 1 species
AGAGUUUGAUCCUGGCUCAGAACGAACGCUGGCGGCGUGCCUAACACAUGCAAGUCGAACGAGAAAGUCCGCAAGGAUGAGUAAAGUGGCGGACGGGUGAGUAACGCGUAGGUAAUCUACCUUCAAGUUGGGGAUAACGUUUCGAAAGGAACGCUAAUACCGAAUGUGUAUUUUGGAGGAUGCUUCAAAAUACAAAGGGGCCUCUCGCAAGAGGGUCUCGCUAGAAGAGGAGCCUGCGUUGGAUUAGCUAGUUGGUGAGGUAAUGGCUCACCAAGGCUACGAUCCAUAGCUGGUCUGAGAGGACGACCAGCCACACUGGAACUGACACACGGUCCAGACUCCUACGGGAGGCAGCAGUGGGGAAUAUUGCGCAAUGGAGGAAACUCUGACGCAGCGACGCCGCGUGGGUGAUGAAGGCCUUCGGGUUGUAAAGCCCUGUCGGCUGGGAAAAAGAUAGUCGUGCUAACACCACGAUUGUUUGAUGGUACCAGCAAAGGAAGUAGCGGCUAACUCUGUGCCAGCAGCCGCGGUAAUACAGAGGCUACAAGCGUUGUUCGGAAUUACUGGGCGUAAAGGGCGUGUAGGCGGCCUGACAAGUCAGAUGUGAAAUCCUAGGGCUUAACCCUGGAAGUGCAUUUGAAACUGUUAGGCUAGAGUGUGGUAGAGGAUAGUGGAAUACCCAGUGGAGAGGUGAAAUUCGUAGAUAUUGGGUGGAACACCGGUGGCGAAGGCGGCUAUCUGGGCCACAACUGAGCUGAGGCGCGAAAGCGUGGGUAGCAAACAGGAUUAGAUACCCUAGUAGUCC